GUAACUUCUCUGUUCUCUUCCUGGUUUCUUCUCUGUGUAUCAUGAGCCAAAUUUUUCCCGUUGUCAAUGCAUAUUGGUGGCUGAGGAUAACAAGCCAUUCUUGUUCAAAUGGGUAUUCCAGUAGUUCUUCACCUCGUUAUCAGUUCGACCAGGAAGCCGACCAGCAAUCAAUGACCAUCUGAUUCAAGAAGUAACACGUUGAAAAUAUCCAAACAUUCAGCAAGUUAUCUCUCUUUACUGUUGGUGACAAUACAUUUACAGGGUGCAAUGAUGACAACUAUGAUUGGAUUCUUCCUAUAUAUGACAGCAAAAUGGGCACCCAGCACUGUCAAAUAUUACUCGCAGAAUGUUGAAAUGGUGGGCCACGCAUGCAUCAUCAUUGCUCUCUUUGCGCUGGCAGAUUGACGUGCGGGCCCUGGUUUGCUAAAAGCGUAUCUGCCUGCUUCUCAAUCAAGACAGGGCAUGGACACAAUAAGAACAGUAAAAGAAGAAGAAGAUAGAAUGACGACAAUGAAAUUUUGGACCCUUUGAUUUUGAUUGUCGGUGAAGUGAAGGAGGCUUAAGUAUUUAGCAAGCGUUCAUGAGUGAGGCACUCGGAGAAAAACAAUGCAGCAGCAGCAGCAGCAGCUUUUGUUGGGGGAAGCAAGCAGGCGAUUGGGUACAGGUUUGAAAAGAGAAAUAAUUGAAGUGUUCUGUGUGUCAUUGGCAGGCAUUGGCUGCAACAGGGCGCUAUUGUAAAGAUUCCACAUCCAUUCAUCUACACUGUGCUGCCCUCCCCUGCCCUGCCCUCAUCACUCUCAGCUUUUUCCUUUUGCAUAUCUGCCUGUCUCAUGCUUCUCCACCAGGUACACGCACACUCCCUCCCUACACACUCGUUUCACUCUUUCCACUUAUCUUUGGCGUUUCCAAAUUGUCCAUUAAUAAGAGCUUUUGUCUGUUUUUUACUUCGUUUUUUUGUCAAGGGGAAGGGAUUUUGUUAACUCUUUCUUGGUUAAAAGCUAAAAAUUUUGGUCGUUUGAACUUUCAAAUUUGUGUCUAAUAAGUCCUAAAUUUUAAAUUUACUAUCCUUUGGGUGGAAAAGGUUCUUUUAACUUUUAAAAUGCCUAAUAGUUUCUUAAACUUUUAGUUGUGUGUUGUUUGAUGGGUGUGUGAAGGAUUAACUACGUUCUUGUUUUUUGGUUUUUCUUGGUGUGGUAAGAAAAAACGUGUUUGAAUGAUUUGUACACAAAAAUAUUACAUGAAACAACUAUCGGAAAUGUCUACUAAUUUCUGAUAGAUGGUUAGAUGUUUUAAUAUUAUCACUCAUUUUUUUAUCGAACUCGAGAAAGAAUUAAAAUACAUGACAAGGUU